GGUUAACUCAGUCAGUAUUCUCAUCAGGUUAACUCUGCCAGUAUUCUCAUCAGGUUAACUCAGUCAGUAUUCUCAUCAGGUUAACUCAGUCAGUAUUCUCAUCAGGUUAACUCAGUCAGUAUUCUCAUCAGGUUAACUCAGUCAGUAUUCUCA